GACGAACGCUGGCGGCGUGCUUAACACAUGCAAGUCGAGCGGAAAGGCCUGCUUUCCCUUGUGGAUUGCGGGUACUCGAGUGGCGAACGGGUGAGUAACACGUGAGUGAUCUGCCCCCAACUUGGGUAUAAGCCUGGGAAACUGGGUCUAAUUCCCGAUAGGACUGCAGGGUGGUGCCUGUGGUGGAAAACGAUUUUCUAGUGGUUGGGGAUGAGCUCGCGGCCUAUCAGCUUGUUGGUGGGGUAAUGGCCUACCAAGGCGGCGACGGGUAGCCGGCCUGAGAGGGUGGACGGGCACAUUGGGACUGAGAUACGGCCCAGACUCCUACGGGAGGCAGCAGUGGGGAAUAUUGCACAAUGGGCGGAAGCCUGAUGCAGCGACGCCGCGUGGGGGAUGACGGCCUUCGGGUUGUAAACUCCUUUCGACCGCGAGGAAGCCACCUGGUUGGAAGGGUGGUGACGGUAGUGGUAGAAGAAGCACCGGCUAACUACGUG
rnacentral:rRNA from 1 species